UGGGGAAUCUUGCACAAUGGGGGAAACCCUGAUGCAGCGACGCCGCGUGAGCGAUGAAGGUUUUCGAAUCGUAAAGCUCUGUCCUAGGGGAAGAUAAUGACGGUACCAUGGGAGGAAGCCCCGGCUAACUACGUGCCAGCAGCCGCGGUAAUACGUAGGGGGCGAGCGUUGUCCGGAAUUACUGGGCGUAAAGGGUUCGCAGGCGGCAUGGCAAGUCCGAUGUAAAAGGCGAAGGCUCAACCUUCGUAAGCAUCGGAACCUGUCAAGCUUGAGUGAAGGAUAGGCAAGUGCAAUUCCUAGUGUAGCGGUUGAAUGCGUAGAUAUUAGGCGGAAUACCGGUGGCGAAGGCGACUUGCUGGACUUCAACUGACGCUGAGGAACGACAGCGUGGGUAGCAAACAGG
rnacentral:rRNA from 1 species